GCCCUGUGCAGCCAUGCCGCGUGUAUGAAGAAGGCCUUCGGGUUGUAAAGUACUUUCAGCGGGAGGGGGCCUUGGUUAAUAACUUCAGCAAUUGACGUUACCCGAGAAGAGGCGCCGGCUAACUCCGUGCCAGCAGCCGCGGUAAUACGGAGGGUGCAAGCGUUAAUCGGAAUUACUGGGUUUCCAGCUAGAGAGGGAGCGGUCUGUCAAGUCGGAUGUGAAAUCCCCGGGCUCAACCUGGGAACUGCAUUCGAAACUGGCAGGCUGAGUCUUGUAGAGGGGGGUAGAAUUCCAGGUGUAGCGGUGAAAUGCGUAGAGAUCUGGAG
rnacentral:rRNA from 1 species